CAAACUGCGAAUACCGGAGAAUGUUAUCACGGGAGACACACGGCGGGUGCUAACGUCCGUCGUGAAGAGGGAAACAACCCAGACCGCCAGCUAAGGUCCCAAAGUCAUGGUUAAGUGGGAAACGAUGUGGGAAGGCCCAGACAGCCAGGAUGUUGGCUUAGAAGCAGCCAUCAUUUAAAGAAAGCGUAAUAGCUCACUGGUCGAGUCGGCCUGCGCGGAAGAUGUAACGGGGCUAAACCAUGCACCGAAGCUGCGGCAGCGACACUGUGUGUUGUUGGGUAGGGGAGCGUUCUGUAAGCCUGCGAAGGUGUGCUGUGAGGCAUGCUGGAGGUAUCAGAAGUGCGAAUGCUGACAUAAGUAACGAUAAAGCGGGUGAAAAGCCCGCUCGCCGGAAGACCAAGGGUUCCUGUCCAACGUUAAUCGGGGCAGGGUGAGUCGACCCCUAAGGCGAGGCCGAAAGGCGUAGUCGAUGGGAAACAGGUUAAUAUUCCUGUACUUGGUGUUACUGCGAAGGGGGGACGGAGAAGGCUAUGUUGGCCGGGCGACGGUUGUCCCGGUUUAAGCGUGUAGGCUGGUUUUCCAGGCAAAUCCGGAAAACCAAGGCUGAGGCGUGAUGACGAGGCACUACGGUGCUGAAGCAACAAAU
rnacentral:rRNA from 1 species